ensembl:snoRNA
GAUGUAGAUAUGAUGAGUUUGUCAUGUCUCUUCUCUGAUCAACAGUGGGGAAAGAUUCAACAUCUCUGAUCUCAGCACA